ACGAACGCUGGCGGCAUGCCUAACACAUGCAAGUCGAACGAGACCUUCGGGUCUAGUGGCGCACGGGUGCGUAACGCGUGGGAACCUGCCCUUAGGUUCGGAAUAACUCCCCGAAAGGGGUGCUAAUACCGGAUAAUGUCUUCGGACCAAAGAUUUAUCGCCUUUGGAUGGGCCCGCGUUGGAUUAGCUAGUUGGUAGGGUAAAAGCCUACCAAGGCGACGAUCCAUAGCUGGUCUGAGAGGAUGAUCAGCUACACUGGGACUGAGACACGGCCCAGACUCCUACGGGAGGCAGCAGUGGGGAAUAUUGGACAAUGGGCGAAAGCCUGAUCCAGCAAUGCCGCGUGAGUGAUGAAGGCCUUAGGGUUGUAAAGCUCUUUUACCCGGGAUGAUAAUGACAGUACCGGGAGAAUAAGCUCCGGCUAACUCCGUG
rnacentral:rRNA from 1 species